rfam:Paenibacillus beijingensis strain DSM 24997, complete genome.
ACAAAAAAAUCGGGGCCCCCUUACGGGAGCCCCUUUCAUGGGAGAGGAGAAACCGGACGAAGAGCUUAUGGGGAAACGUAAGCCUUCUCCGCGG